CCUACGGGAGGCAGCAGUGGGGGAUAUUGCACAAUGGGGGAAACCCUGAUGCAGCGACGCCGCGUGUGGGAAGACGGUCCUCUGGAUUGUAAACCACUGUCCCCAGGGACGACGAUGACGGUUCCUGGGUAGGAAGCUCCGGCUAACUACGUGCCAGCAGCCGCGGUAAUACGUAGGGAGCAAGCGUUGUCCGGAAUUACUGGGGGAAAAGGGAGCGUAGGCGGGAUAGCAAGUUGGGGGUUAAAUCUACCGGCUAAACCGGUAGUCGCACUUAAAACUGCUAUUCUUGAGUGAAGUAGAGGCAGGCGGAAUUCCUAGUGUAGCGGUGAAAUGCGUAGAUAUUAGGAGGAACACCAGUGGCGAAGGCGGCCUGCUGGGCUUUUACUGACGCUGAGGCUCGAAAGUGUGGGGAGCAAACAGGAUUAGAUACCCCUGUAGUC
rnacentral:rRNA from 1 species